UGCGCAGAGAUAUGGAGGAACACCAGUGGCGAAGGCGACUUUCUGGUCUGUAACUGACGCUGAUGUGCGAAAGCGUGGGGAUCAAACAGGAUUAGAUACCCUGGUAGUCCACGCCGUAAACGAUGAGUGCUAAGUGUUAGGGGGUUUCCGCCCCUUAGUGCUGCAGCUAACGCAUUAAGCACUCCGCCUGGGGAGUACGACCGCAAGGUUGAAACUCAAAGGAAUUGACGGGGACCCGCACAAGCGGU
rnacentral:rRNA from 1 species